AAGUCAUUUAAGGCAGCUGCAAAAACGACCAAGAAAACUGCAAGCAAAGGAGUGCAUAGCAUCCUGGGGCAGAGGGUCACAGGACCACCACCAGCAGGCAGAAACACAACCAAAGGAUAUGUGGACUGCUGUGGACUUCUGCAACUCUGGACAGGAUAUCAUCAUAUACUGUAAGUUCGCUACAUAGACACUACAGUAUAGAUGAUGUACUAUCCAGGGUGGCACACAAGACAGAGGAAAGAAGAUCAAAAAUGCAAAGGAACAUCAUGCAAACUCCAGGGGGCAGCAGGGAAACCGUUACCAUUACUGAGCUUUAGUAAUGGUAAGGGUUACUUUGCUUCCUCCAGUAAACAGCGCACCUUCUGACAGUUUUUUUUUUUUUUUAAAUCUGUAAAUAUUUUUGUAACAUUUAUUAGUGGCUAGAAAUAAAACCAGUAAUCACUGUACAAGUUGUACUUCUUUAGCUCUUAAAGAGAUACCUAUUUACAGUUGCUUUGAUACUAAUAUGACAUAAUAAAGGAAAAGGGUUAUUAAGACAAAACCUCUUGUUUUUACUAUCUGACUUACUGUAUUUUUUAUUUAGGUAAGUUUUCUGCACUUAAAUUGAACAUGCUAUAUGUAUAUUUGCCAUAUUUCUUCAGUUGACCUUUGUAAAUGUAGCACACUUUUGUAAACACCAGUAAAAGUAUCAACAAUAAAUAACAGCAUUGCUUGUUGUUCA